rnacentral:rRNA from 1 species
UACGUAGGGUGCGAGCGUUGUCCGGAAUUACUGGGCGUAAAGAGCUCGUAGGUGGUUUGUCGCGUUGUUCGUGAAAACUCACAGCUCAACUGUGGGCGUGCGGGCGAUACGGGCAGACUGGAGUACUGCAGGGGAGACUGGAAUUCCUGGUGUAGCGGUGAAAUGCGCAGAUAUCUGGAGGAAUACCGGUGGCGAAGGCGGCAUCCUGGACCGGCAUUGACGCUGAGGAGCGAAAGCUAGGGGAGCAAACGGG